CAGGACGAACGCUGGCGGCGUGCCUAACACAUGCAAGUCGAGCGGAGACUAUCAGAUGAGAGCUCGGCAGGAUUCAGGUAAGUUUAGCGGCGGACGGGUGAGUAACGCGUGAGCAAUCUGUCUCAGACAGGGGGAUAACGCAGCGAAAGUUGCACUAAUACCGCAUGAGACCACGGUGCCGCAUGGUACAGGGGUCAAAGGAGCAAUCCGGUCUGAGGUGAGCUCGCGUCCUAUUAGGUAGUUGGUGAGGUAACGGCCCACCAAGCCGACGAUAGGUAGCCGACCUGAGAGGGUGAUCGGCCACACUGGAACUGAGACACGGUCCAGACUCCUACGGGAGGCAGCAGUGGGGAAUAUUGGGCAAUGGGCGAAAGCCCUGACCCAGCAACGCCGCGUGAGUGGAGAAGGUCUUCGGAUUGUAAAUCUCUGUCCUAAGAGAAGAGGGAAGACGGUAUCUUAGGAGGAAGCCCCGGCUAACUACGUGCCAGCCGCCGC
rnacentral:rRNA from 1 species